rnacentral:lncRNA from 1 species
CCCUACAGUAAAUACAACAGUAGAAUAGCACUGCUAAUAAACCCGGGUGGCUGGGUGGUAGAGAAUCAGCUCCGCUCCUCCGGUCCCUGGAGGUCAGUGCACAGACGGCCAUUCCUCAGCCAGGAGAAGGAUUUGGGUUAGAGGAGGAAGCCCAGAGGGUUUCCACAGUGACAACGGAACAAAGACCCUUACUUUAUCAUUAAUUAUACAUUCAUACAAGCUUUACUAUACAUAACACACAUUCUUAUUAUUUACGAUAGUUAACACUUUCAUAUUUAUUACUUUAGUGCAACACAUUCAUACUAUCUUUGUUCUAUAAAUAACAUAUACAUUUCAACUUUUGUACGUACUAAAAAUCGAACUACAGAGAGAACAAUAAACAGGGACUUGAUCUAAAGUAGCGCAAACAGAAAAAAGUUUCGAACUUUAUUCAUUAAAGGUCUGACAGAAGAGCUAGCGUCUAGAAGUGUCUGUGAGGUGAGGAAGAAACUAUGAGAGCCUGAGAGGAACAGUGAGAGCCUGUGGGGGCAGUGUUAAGAAGUUAGGUGAGUACAAGACAUCUUUUAAUCACCUAGACCUACAUACCGAAGAGUCCAACAAAAAUAGCUCUGUUACCUCUCUCUCUCUCUCUCUCUCUCUCUCUCUCUCUCUCUCUCUCUCUCUCUCUCUCUCUCUCUCUCUCUCUCUCUCUCUCUCUCUCUCUCUCUCUCUCUCUCUCUCUCUCUCUCUCUCUCUCUCUCUAUUCCCUGGAUACCAUCUCUCCAUCACCUCCUCCUCCUCCUUUUGCUUCUACUCCUGUAUGCAGGAAAGAAGAAUAGGAGGGGACAAAAGAGUAAGAGAAUUGGGACGUUUAGGGCCUGAAGCAAAUAAAACAGAGUCUCCUAGAGCUUCAUUAACGGGUAUGCUGCAGUCACCAGCUCUGCCUCCUAACCCUACGGCUCACCGACCUUCCAAGGGACUGAGGGAACAAGGACAGAGGGAACAAGGACAGGGGGAACAAGGACAGAAGGAACAAGGGCGGAGGGCUGGAUAACUAACAUCAGGGUUGACUUUCACUCUCUUGUCCCCUGAAUAUCCUUCCUGACUUCCCUGGGAUGGCACCAUGCGUUGAGGCUCUUCCGGGGUUCUAUUUAGACGGUAGAGGUGACCUGCUCCACAGCUCACCUAAUGUUGUCCUGGACCAACCCUAGGGGGUCUGGGUUGCUUGGGGUGGUGUUUAUCUCUCUCCUGACUCCUAAGGAGGUGUGGAACAAAAAAGAGAGGCAUAGUUACCAAUGGGAGGAUCUCUAUUCAGCUCGGUGAGGCUUUAAAAACAGGCUAUUCUCCAAGUCCUGAACAUUGCUAUCGGAGAUCUAUAUAAUAUAAAGCAAUUUAAGAGAAUCAUAUAAUAAUAAAUUCCCCACCCA